GAGUUUGAUCUUGGCUCAGGAUGAACGCUAGCGGCAGGCUUAACACAUGCAAGUCGAGGGGUAUAGGUUUUCGGACCUAGAGACCGGCGCACGGGUGCGUAACGCGUAUGCAAUCUACCUUUUACAGAGGGAUAGCCCAGAGAAAUUUGGAUUAAUACCUCAUAGUAUUAUUGAGUGGCAUCAUUUAAUAAUUAAAGUUCCAACGGUAAAAGAUGAGCAUGCGUCCCAUUAGCUAGAUGGUAAGGUAACGGCUUACCAUGGCGACGAUGGGUAGGGGUCCUGAGAGGGAGAUCCCCCACACUGGUACUGAGACACGGACCAGACUCCUACGGGAGCGGCAGUAGGGAAUAUUGGACAAUGGGCGCAAGCCUGAUCCAGCCAUGCCGCGUGCAGGAUGAAGGCCCUAUGGGUCGUAAACUGCUUUUGUACGGGAAGAAACCUCACUACGUGUAGUGAGUUGACGGUACCGUGAGAAUAAGGAUCGGCUAACUUCGUGCCAGCCGCCGCAGU
rnacentral:rRNA from 1 species